rnacentral:rRNA from 1 species
GAGUUUGAUCCUGGCUCAGGAUAAACGCUGGCGGCGCACAUAAGACAUGCAAGUCGAACGGAAGUCGUUAUAAAUGGAGUGAAGAUUUAUCUGAGUGAAAUUUAUAACAAUGGCUUUAGUGGCGGACUGGUGAGUAACGCGUAAGUAAUCUGCCUAUUAGAGGGGAAUAACAAUGAGAAAUCAUUGCUAAUACCGCAUAUGCCAUAACGAAGGCAUCUUCGAAGUGGGAAAGGAGCAAUCCGCUAAUAGAUGAGCUUGCGUCUGAUUAGUUAGUUGGUGAGGUAACGGCUUACCAAGACGACGAUCAGUAGCCGGACUGAGAGGUUGAACGGCCACAUUGGGACUGAGAUACGGCCCAGACUCCUACGGGAGGCAGCAGUCGGGAAUAUUGCGCAAUGGAGGAAACUCUGACGCAGUGACGCCGCGUAUAGGAAG